AGACCAUGAUUCAGAAUCUUUUGCAAGUACUCUUUGAAUCUCUCCCAAGCUUCAUAUAAUUGUUCCCCCAAUCGCUGCUUAAAUUCAUAGAUCUCGUCACGAAUCU